rnacentral:rRNA from 1 species
AUUGAACGCUGGCGGCAGGCUUAACACAUGCAAGUCGAGCGGAGAUGAGGUGCUUGCACCUUAUCUUAGCGGCGGACGGGUGAGUAAUGCUUAGGAAUCUGCCUAUUAGUGGGGGACAACAUUCCGAAAGGAAUGCUAAUACCGCAUACGUCCUACGGGAGAAAGCAGGGGAUCUUCGGACCUCGCGCUAAUAGAUGAGCCUAAGUCGGAUUAGCUAGUUGGUGGGGUAAAGGCCUACCAAGGCGACGAUCUGUAGCGGGUCUGAGAGGAUGAUCCGCCACACUGGGACUGAAACACGGCCCAGACUCCUACGGCAGGCAGCAGUGGGGAAUAUUGGACAAUGGGGGAAACCCUGAUCCAGCCAUGCCGCGUGUGUGAAGAAGGCCUUAUGGUUGUAAGGCACUUUAAGCGAGGAGGAGGCUACUGAGACUAAUACUCUUGGAUAGUGGACGUUACUCGCAGAAUAAGCACCGGCUAACUCUGUGCCAGCAGCCGCCGUAA